rnacentral:lncRNA from 1 species
UUGAUCCCCUCCUAGCCAGCUUGCGCCCAAACUUCCUUCCGGCGGCGCCCGAGCUCCCUCCCCACCUUCUCCGACGCACCGUGCGCAUACCAUCCCCACCUUCUCCGGCGCACCGUGCGCAUACCAUCCCCACCUUCUCCGAUGAUGUGCCGCCCGCCACAACCUCCGACCGCGUCCCACGGGAAACACCCUCCUCUUGCUCCUGCGCCACCCAGCGAUCAUGGCUGGAUUGUGCAGCCCUCGGCCCCCGGUGUCUCAACCACCGGAUCUGGUCGCCAUAGCCAUUGGUGCAACCACAAAAAACGGAUCCGGCUGCUGGCGACCCCCUAGCCACCUUCCUUCCACCUCGCAGGACCACCCACCUCUCUCCACCUUCCUUCCGAUCCACAUCUCACCUCAUCUCCAACAGGGGCCGCGCCGCCGUCUAUGGAUUUCCACGGCUCUGCCCUGCCUGAUGCUCGUACCCCGAGACGGCUCCCUUGCGUACUUGACCAAGGGGACCAAGAGUGUUGCAUCCCCUCAUGCUCAGUAGCAUCGCCGGCAUGGGCUCGCGACGCCCCUGCCUUGCAUCGAUGUCAUCGGCCUGGGCGCCGCCAAGGUAGAGAUCCACCCUCGCCCGCGGGAGGAUCCCAUCCCCCACACCCAGAUUUGCGCCCCCGGCGGCCGUUGACCUUUGCGUCGUCUUCAGGCUGAUUCAGGCUGACCACCGCCAGAGCCGAGCCCCUACCUUCCCCACCUUCUCCAUGGUGCCCCGCAUCCAGAUCUACCAAGGAGGACGACGAAUGUGGUAGCUGCCACAGCUACGCAUGGAGGGUCCUGCGGGAUCCGGUUCCAUCUCACCUCGUCUUCCUUCCACCCUCAAAUCCAUAGCGAUGAGGUCACCAUUCGCCUUGGAAGUGCACAUCUUGUACUCCGUCGGUUCAGUACAUGGGUUCGUGCAGCCCGCAGCUGCAGUUUCUGGGCGAUGCAGGUUUGACUGCAGCUCCUUCCCUUCCCUGACGAGCAUCAGUUGUGGUGAAGCGUUCACUCCGUCCCCAAGUCCAGUGCAACCGCCUUCAAUGAUUGGAGGCGGUCUAUUAAGCUUGGGGAUCAAUUCAAUUUAUUUUAUUUUAUAACCUUGUAGUGCAGUUUAUUUUUGAAAGACGUCCUGUACUCGUUUUGUUGUGGGAUUGGAGUAUACAUGUAUGUUUGUAUGAUUUCGUUGCAGUUCGAGCAAUGCACUCAUGUGGUUAUGUGGUAGUGUACUUGCAGUCCGAUGCGUGCGCACAUGAAAUGCUUUGUGGUUCACUUAAUAAAAAGCAUUAAUGUAGUACAUUUGCCUCGUCUCAAAAGCCAGGACACAUUCAUAAAAAGGAUGAGAACAAUACAUCUCAACGAAGUUUGCUUCUCAAUUCGACGAAGUUAACUCGCGUCUGAUGUGAAGUGCACUUCAGUUGUGCGUGUGGAAGACAUUUAUGUUGAACAAAAGAAAAUCAUGCAGUUCACUUGCCCGUCAGAUGCAGUGCGCCUUCCCGUAAAAAAGCAGUGCACUCUUCUAUCCCAUGCGGUUCACGCGUUGAUUUGGGUGUCGUGAAAAAACACACUGUCACGA